ACCUUUUCGAUAGGUUUCUCUUCAACCACUACAGAUACUUCUUCUACUGUUUUCGGUUCUGAAGUCGUUGAUUCUAUUGUUUCAGUUACUACAGUAGUUGUUGUAGUAGUCUGAGAGAUAGUCUCGGUAAGAGGUUCCUCGGGUUUUUCUUCUUCGUCAGAGAAUACCAUUGGUUCAUCGAGGACAUCCAUCCAAGUACCAGAAGAUUCGUCAAUUGGGAGACCAGCGUAAGCAGGUUUCUUGGGUUCUUCCUUGACGGGUGCAGUGGGUUGUUCCGCAACAGCUUCCACUUCAACAACUUCUUCUACUGGUUUAACUUCCUCAACCUUUUCGAUAGGUUUCUCUUCAACCACUACAGAUACUUCUUCUACUGUUUUCGGUUCUGAAGUCGUUGAUUCUAUUGUUUCAGUAACUACAGUAGUUGUUGUAGUAGUCUGAGAGAUAGUCUCGGUAACAGGUUCCUCGGGUUUUUCUUCCUCGUCAGAGAAUACCAUUGGUUCAUCGAGGACAUCCAUCCAAGUACCAGAAGAUUCGUCAAUUGGGAGACCAGCGUAAGCAGGUUUCUUGGGUUCUUCCUUGACGGGUGCAGUGGGUUGUUCCACUACAGCUUUCACUUCAACGACUUCUUCUACUGGUUUCACUUCCUCAACCUUUUCGAUUGGUUUCUCUUCAACCACUACAGCAACUUCUUCUACUGGUUUAACUUCCUCAACCUUUUCGAUAGGUUUCUCUUCAACCACUACAGAUACUUCUUCUACUGUUUUCGGUUCUGAAGUCUUUGAUUCUAUUGUUUCAGUAACUACAAUAGUUGUGGUAGUAGUUUGCGAGGAAGUCUGGGUAACAGGUUCUUCCUUGGUUUCUUCUUCGUCAGAGAAUACCAUUGGUUCGUCGAGGACAUCCAUCCAAGUACCUGAAGAUUCGUCAAUUGGAAGACCAGCGUAAGCAGGUUUCUUAGGUUCUUCCUUGACAGGUGCAGCG